UUUGGUGCACUUUGAUUUUAUUUAAGAGCCUGUUGGGCUUUUUUUCCAAAGCAGGACAAACAGAAGUUGCAUGCUGAGAACAAAUCAUUCAGUUUUCAACUGCAGCAAAGGGUAUCGGGGACGUUCGAUUCAGGCUUGAUCAAACAGACACAGGUCAUCUGGUGAAGUGGGCCCAGCGGUGGGGCGAGUCAGGCUGGAGGUGGUCGGUGCUAAACUGGAGACAGCUAACUCAGCGUGAUUCGACAGCAGGUAACGAUUCUGUUGUCGCUAUGAUCUCCAUUUGGUGUCCGCAACUUUGACCGCUGUGUGGCUGCCCCUGUUCAUCUAGGACCUCCCCAAACGUUAAGGACAAACCAAGUUAUCGUAUAGUCAAGCAGUGAUAUUACCUUCAGUUACAGUUUCACCUCGUCAUCGGUCCAGAAAAAAGAAAGAUCUACUCUCACAUUCUAUUAUUGCUGUUUCUUAUUUACAAGUAGACACGCGGCCCAUUUUUACACUCAGCAUGAGUUCCUACUCAACCAUCAAGUCAAUGAAGAAUAAAUUGAGAAAUCUCUCUUUCUCCUCUCAGAA